rnacentral:rRNA from 3 species
CGCGGCCUAUCAGCUUGUUGGUGAGGUAAUGGCUCACCAAGGCGACGACGGGUAGCCGGCCUGAGAGGGUGACCGGCCACACUGGGACUGAGACACGGCCCAGACUCCUACGGGAGGCAGCAGUGGGGAAUAUUGCACAAUGGGCGCAAGCCUGAUGCAGCGACGCCGCGUGAGGGAUGACGGCCUUCGGGUUGUAAACCUCUUUCAGUAGGGAAGAAGCGAAAGUGACGGUACCUGCAGAAGAAGCGCCGGCUAACUACGUGCCAGCAGCCGCGGUAAUACGUAGGGCGCAAGCGUUAUCCGGAAUUAUUGGGCGUAAAGAGCUCGUAGGCGGUUUGUCGCGUCUGCCGUGAAAGUCCGGGGCUCAACUCCGGAUCUGCGGUGGGUACGGGCAGACUAGAGUGAUGUAGGGGAGACUGGAAUUCCUGGUGUAGCGGUGAAAUGCGCAGAUAUCAGGAGGAACACCGAUGGCGAAGGCAGGUCUCUGGGCAUUAACUGACGCUGAGGAGCGAAAGCAUGGGGAGCGAACAGGAUUAGAUACCCUGGUAGUCCAUGCCGUAAACGUUGGGCACUAGGUGUGGGGGACAUUCCACGUUUUCCGCGCCGUAGCUAACGCAUUAAGUGCCCCGCCUGGGGAGUACGG